UAAUUGCUAAGAUGUGAAGAAAAAUUGUUUU
rnacentral:piRNA from 1 species